UCAAAUUUGAAGUGGCAAAAAUUGAAGUGACUGGUGGCCAUUUUGUGUUUGUAUCUUUUACGAAAGAAGCAUAUGAUAAUUUCAUAAAUUUCAGAUUUCCUAUGAAAGAUAAAAUAUUAUUACAAAAGUGGACCCAUGCUGUGAAGAGAGAGAACUUCAAUGUAACAAAAUAUAGUAAAUUAUGUUCAAAGCAUUUUACACCAGAUUCAUUUAUUUCAUCUGUUACAAAUCAUGUUCAAUUAAGAGUGGGAGCAAUACCAUCAAUUUUUAAUUUUCCAAAGCAUCUUCUAAAAAAGCCAGAUUAAUUCAAAUAUAAAUUUUUAAUUUUCCAAAGCAUCUUCUAAAAGUAACAAAAUAAUGAAUAAUAAAUUAUAACAUGCAGAUUUCUUAGAAGC